ACUGCCAUAAGCGCGUGACCAGGUACAUCGUUUGCUGUCAACAUAAAGAGCCAAAAAGCAGAGCAAAUAAACAGCAUUUUUAUACUUCAGAUACUUUUUAUUGUUUCUUCAGUCGCAUCUCGCAUUUGGGAGCCAGUAUUUUUUUAUAUUCUCUUAUACUUUUUAAAUAUUCAUCGACUGAGUGCUUGUGUCGGUUGAGGGUUACCUGUCCCGUUAUAGGUGUGGAAGAGACGCGUAACGUUAGAGGAAACGUUACUCAAACUUCACCUGCUGAAACACUAGAAGGCAAACGCGUCUAGAGAGGGGUCUUUGGCCGUCACUGGGAUGAUAGUGAGGUGGGCUGGAGACUGGAUUGAAGGAGCAUGGUGAAGCACCAACCUCUACAGGUCUAUGAGAGACAGUUGUGUUUGUCAUGUCUGACCGGGAUCUACGGUUGCCGCUGGAAACGCUACCAGCGGUCACAUGAUGAUACCACCAAGUGGGAGUGUUUGUGGUCCUUCAUACUCUUCUGCACUUUCUCCUUGUUACUGGUGUGGUUUUACUUCUGGUGGGAAGCCCACAAUGACUACAGUGAGUUUAACUGGUUUUUAUACAACCGUUCAGGGGAGUGGAGCGAUGGAACCGUUCCCAUACUGGCCACCACAGCAGCUGGAUUCACCUAUAUUGCAUUUUUAAUGAUUUUAGCUCUGUGUCAUGUCGGUGUCGGGCAGCAGUUGAACUUACACUGGCUCCACAAGAUUGGUGUGACGGUUGCGUUGCUCACUACAAUAAUCGGUGUGAUAUCGGUCACACAGAUGUGGGGGGAGGAAUGGGAUGUCAUUUGGAUUUCUCUUCAGGCUACAGGUCCAUUCUUGCACAUCGGUGCUUUAGCUGCGGUCACAGCUUUGGCCUGGCUGAUAGCUGGACAGGUGGCAAGAGCAGAGAAAACCAGGUUCCAGGUGAUGGUUCUCCUCAUCUACCUGUGUGUUCUCCUCACACUCUACUUUAUUCCUCUGUCGAUCACUUCACCCUGCAUCAUGGACCGUGGGAGUCUCAAAGCAGCCCCCGGCAUCAUCGGCCAUCAAGGAGCUCCGAUGAUAGCUCCAGAGAACACUCUCCUGUCCUUUCACAGAGCUCUACAGAGGAACGUCAGCGGCCUGGAGGCGGAUGUGACCAUCAGUCUAGAUGGUGUGCCCUUCCUCAUGAGAGACCGGACGUUCAGGAGAACCACCGAUGUGAAAAGAGUGUUUCCAGAGAGACAGUACGACGACGCCUCAUUCUUUAACUGGACUGAUCUGCGCUCGCUGAACGCUGGCGAGUGGUUUCUGAAGGAUGAUCCCUUCUGGGCCGUGAAAUACAUGUCACCAUCUGAACGCUGGUUAGUGGGGAACCAGACAGUGUGCAGCCUUGAACAGAUGCUCAAACUAGCGGCUCGGUCGCGGAGCUUGGCUAUAUUCACGCUACGCAGACCGCCGCCCGGCCAUCCCCACUACCACGACUGGGUCAACCUCACCCUGGACACUGUUCUGAGGUCAGGCAUACCACAGCGGCAGGUGAUGUGGACCGUGGACAGUGACAGAGAGAUGGUGAGGCGGGUGGCUCCAGGUUUACAGCAGACCUCCUUGCAGAUGCUGCCCCUCAACACACUUCAUCAUAAAGGCAUCGGUGGUCUCCUGCUGCGCUACAAUCAAGCGUCUGGGCAUGACGUCCGGCUCUAUAAUGAACACAACAUCAGUCUGAUCCUGUAUUCGGUGAAUGAGCCGUGGCUCUAUUCUCUGCUGUGGUGCGGCGGGGUGCCGACCGUCUCCUCGGAAGCUCCGCAGGUGUUGAGGAAGCUGCACUCUCCACUCUGGCUCAUGAGUCCAGAAGAGUACCGUUUGAUAUGGAUCUCCACUGAUCUCAUCUCUUUUGCUGUAGUUAUGGGAAUAUUUAUAUUCCAGAACUAUCACAUGAUCAGGUGGAGAAUGAGCGGGAUGCGUAGCUACAACCCAGAGCAGAUCAUGCUGAGUGCAGCCGUCAGAAGAUCCAGCCGAGACGUCAACAUCAUGAAGGAGAAGCUCAUCUUCUCUGAUCAGCCACGGUAGCUGUCUAUCCCCGGGCUUGAGUCCUCUAUCAUCCCAUCUGUGGCCGCAUCCUUCCAUCCUUCAAUCUCAUUCCCACCUUUCUCCCUCCUGUAUUUUACCGUCCCCCAUCCUCCUGCAUCCAUUCAUCCAUCAGUGCGUCAUUCCAUACUCCGCUGACAUCCCACACCUCUACUAGCUCAUGCAGGGCUGUAGCAUCAAUGACUUGGUGACUGUGGACUGCAUGUGAGGUGAGCAAUGGAGUCAACAGCGAUGAGCCGUAUAUGGAAAAUGGGUAUAACUUCUACACCAAUUAAAUCAUUGCUCAUUGACUAGUGGACCAAAAGACACGGGUCACAUUGGUCAGCCAGUGUUCUGAUUUCUUUUUGGAAAAACUACAUUGCGGUCUGAUCCAGUUUGUUGUGGCAUCUCCUCUGAACUACUGAACAGUCUGCCGUUUAUGAUGGACCCAUGUACAGAAAAAACGUUCUUUUAUUUUUCUUCUGCCGUUACAUUGCUUGUUCUAAAUUGUGGGCCAGAAACAGUAGUGUUCUGUUCUAGAGUGCAGUUCUUACGAGUUUUACCAAAAUUUGUGGCCUCUGUCCCCACUAAAUGCUUAAGUAAACGCUGGGAUGCUCAUUACUUGCUUCGUAUUGCAAGCAUGCCUGUAAUAACCUUGUGGAUUUUAUCUGUCGGUUAUUGAGGAUUUUAUUUUGUCUAAUCUUCCAUAGACAGCUGAUGUGGAAUAUAACUUAUGCCAGUUUUUUUUGUGUUCCAAUUUGAUGUGGUAUUCAAAGUCUAAUGAUGCCUUCUGUUCAAAUUGUUGUGAAUUGAAAGAAUGAGCAAACAGGUGUUUACACUGUGCCUGCCUUUAUCCUUCUGAUGAUGUAAACCUAUUUAGCAAAGUUAACAUUUUGCAUGUGGUUGAGUUGUGUCAUUUUGGGAGGAAAUCACCCAGCCUUACAAUCGUAUUAUUUUAUAUACCAUGUUAGACAACAAGAAGACUUUGCAUAUAUUUAGAUUUUUAAUCUCUGUGGUUUGUUAUGAACAAACUUUAAACAAAGAUAAAAAGCCAGACUAGGCGUAAAAUGGUAAUUAAAACUUUAGAUGUAGUUUAACACUGUUUAUAUGGAAACUGGCUUGGAAUUUUAAUGCAGUGCAAUAUUUAAGAUAACACCGUCUUAGAUUAUAUAUGCGUCUAAAUAUUGUUCAGUGAAUUUUGUUACAUUGUCAUUUUGUCUUCUUUCAAGCCUCUUGAUUAUUAAAAUGGCAUUUCAUGUAAUAAAUACUUUGUACAGGGCUUCCUAUUGAGUGAGGUCAUGACCCCUUCAUUACUAUGGUAAAUGUAAGAUGUGACAUUGUUUACAGUGGAUUGUCGUCACAGAGGACAGAGGUUUGAAUGAUUGUGCUGUUUUUAUUUUGUAUUGAUGUGUUUCAGGGGUCAAUCAAUAAAAAACUGCUGGUUUUACA